GGGCACGGCGCCAGGGGUCACAAUGGAGCAGGCAAAAGACCCCGCAGUGGCC
rnacentral:SRP_RNA from 1 species